CUUUCUUGACCUUUCUGGAGCCUUCUUCUUGCAUUGAAAACUAAGAAAAGUAAAAGAGAAGCAUGCAAGAAAGGUUACUCACCAAACUUAGCUACGCAGGGCUUGUUGACAGUCUGCUGGGGGAGAAAAAGAGAAACAGGUCAGGAUAAUAGCAGUGUCACUGCUUUGUUGAUUGAUUUAUUUAGAGCUUCAGAUUCCUGAAGCAAUAGACUCUUCUGUAGCUAAGAAUCCCUGCCUCCUAUCACUUCCAUAUAUCUUCAUUACCUAGCUUCCCUGGGUCUUUUAGGCAAAAAAUGGGAUUUAUUCCAUCCACCUAACCUCCACCCACAAGAGAACUGUUCAUUCCUGGACUCUUCUGCUACUGGGCUAUAGUGGUUUUCUAUCAACAGUGGUUUCCACACCCCAGUGACUGCACAAGGUGAUAUAUUCAAACGUGGGAAGAAAAUAAUGGAACUUCUAUUUAUGUUUAUUUUAAGUAAUAAAAAAUCAAGCUAUACAAAUAUUUACAAUUCAAAUUGAUACAGCUACCCUCACUCAAUAUUCAGACAAUUCUGUGUCAUAAACAGUAACUGAGAUGCCCUUAGGAGACCUCACUUUUAAUCUGUUGCAACAUAGCACAGUUUAUAUGCUACAGGAUGCCAUCAGUGUGGUUAAUUUUAUAAAUAUAAGUAUUUAAAUGGUAAAUGCUCUAAAACACUUUGUAAGAGGAUAGAAGGUAUCCACUUUUUUUUUGUACCACACAGAGUUCAUUGAUUUUCUUGUGGCUAAGUUCUUAAGAGAUGCUGCACAUUUUUCUUUUAGAAUGUUCUCUGCGUGCCAUGCUGAGAAUAAAUUAAAGGGAGGCAAGAGCAAAAGCAAGACACCAGCUAAAAACAAUUGCAGUAAUCCAGGCAAGAGAGCAUGGUGCCCCUAACCAAGGUGCUAGCAGUGGAGAUGGAAAUAAGUGAUUGGAAAAUAGAGCCAAAAAGAGUUUCUAACAUGGAUAAGAGAAAGAAAUGGGUGACAAAAUGAGAAGAGACAAACAUGACUCCAAGAUUUUUUGGCCUGAGAAAUUGCAAGGAUAAAGUUGCUAUUUCCUGAAAUGGGCAAGAUUUAAAAGGUACUGUUGUUGCUGUUAGGUGCCGUUGAGUCGAUUCCGAUUCAUAGCAAUCCAAUGUGACAGAGUAGAAUUGCCCCCUGGGGUUUCCUAGGCUAUAAUCUUUAUGGAAGCCGUUCACCAGGUCUUUUUUCCAUGGAGCCACUUUGUGAAAGGAGUGGAUUGGGGGGGAAAGAAGCAAUCAUGAGCUUUUUUUUUGGACAUGUUAAGUUUGUAAUGUUUAUUGGCUAUCUAGGUAGAGGUGUCAAGUAAGCAGUUGGAUGAAUGAGGCUGGAAUUUAGGGAGUUCUGAAGAUAUACGGUUAGUAAUCUUCAGCUUAUAUGAGAUGCUUUAAUACAUGAGACUCACAAGAUCAUCAAGUCAGUGAGUGUAGAUAGACAGAAGUGGCAGUACUGGGACACUGAAAUGUUUAGAGGUUGGGGAGAUGAAGAGGAACCAGAAAAGGAAACUGAGAAGGAACAGCCAGUGAGUCAGAAAGGAAACCAGGAGAGUGUGGUAUUGGAAAUCCAAGAGAAGAAAGUAUUUAGGGAAGAGGAUUGACCAGCUAUGUCAAAUGCUGCUGAUGGGUCAAGUAAAAUAAGGAAAGAGAAUUAACUGAUAGAUUUGGUAACAUGAUAGUCAUUGGGACUAUUGACAAGACUAGUUUCUGAGUGUGAUGAGGACAGAAGCUUAAAGGGAAUGGGUUUAAGGGUAAAUGGGAAAGAGAAAUUGGAGGAGUUUUAUUGCAAUGAAAAGCAGAAAAAUUGAGUGGAGCCUGGAUGAGGAUGUCAAGUCAAAAAUAUUUUGUGGUUUUGUGUGUGUUUGUUUUAACAUGAGAGAAAUGGUGACAUGUUUAUAUGUUGAUGGGAAUACUCCAGUAAGUGGAAGGGGAGGUUGUAAGAGAGUGUGUAAGAGAUAGAAGAGAAAUAUUGGAGCUUUGGGUAGGCAAGAGGGGUUAGAAUCUAGUGUAUAGGUGGUCUUGGAUAAGCACAUGAACAACUCACCCAUAGUAACAAGAAGGAAAUGCACUUAAAAAAAACCCAUUGCUGUAGAGUUGAUUCCUACUCAUACUGACCCUAUAGGGCAGAGAAGGGUUUCCAAGGCUGUAAUCUUUACAAAAGCAGACUGCCACAUCUUUCUACUAUGGAGCUGCUGGUGGGUUAGAACUGCCGACCUUUUGAUUAUCUGCCAAAUGCUUAGCCAUUGCACCACCAGGGCUCCAAAAUGCAGUAUAUAUAGACAAAAAUGCAAGUGAGUAGUAGACAUGAUGUGGGCCUUUGGAAGUUCUUUUCCUGUCUGCUUCUGCUAUCUCACAGAACCUGGAGUGAGAAACAUUAGCUGAGAGUGAGAAUGGGCAAAGAGGUAUUGGAUAUGUAAAAAGAAGUAGAAGAUAUGAAAUAGUCUGGUAGAGAAGCAGGAGAGUAAAUAGACUGGAGAAAUGUAGGUUGUUUGCAUAGCAACAGUGACGUGUCACUCGUGGUUAGUGGUCAUGACCCUUCAGCAAGAUCAUGUGUUUUUCUUUAGCUACACUCAACUAUGAAAGACAUAGAGCAGUUGGAUUUAAGCAGGGUGGGGGUUUUUCCAGGAUUGGGGUAUUGCCAGUAGAGUAUGAUCAAGAAAGAGAGAAGUAAGUAAGUGGGUUUAUGCAAAGGAAGGAUUAUAAUUAUAGACUGUGGAAUAAUAAGUUGUAUGAGGAAGGAAAUGAAAUUUCAGUGGUAUAAGGAAGGAAAGACAUGAAUGGGGGGUGGAACAAUGUUAUUUUAGGAAUGAUAAUGAUUUGGCAUCAUUGAAUAAAGAAUUGAAAAUUGAGUGUCAUGAUAUGGUAAGCACACUCAAACAUGCAGUGUUCUGUUUUGAUCUCUAUUUAUGAGGUAAAUUUCUCAGUUACGAAAAUCAAUAAAACCAUGAAUUAAGAAAAAUUAGCAAGGAACAUGACCUUCAAAUUGCUGUAUCACAAAGUGUUAAACUAACAUUAAAAAAACAAAAGAAACAUAUUUGCCAGAUUUUCUACUAAAAUAUCCAUUUAUUUUAUAACGUUAAUAUAUUAAUAUAUAAAAUAUAUUAAUGUUUUAGCAAAAUCAAAGUGGUUUUUUUGCUUUGAAUAAAUAAUAUGCUUAAUGAGCUUAUCCUUACAAAUUUCUAUUUUUUAUCUUUUUUGUAUACAUAUUAUUAACAUUUAAUUAUAAUUUAUAAAAAUAAGUAUACAAAUACUGGAAUUGGACUUUAUUGAUAGAGAGGUUCAGUCAAUAAAUUUAGAAGGCACUACUCUCUUAAAAUUAUUGCUCUUAAAAUUAUUUCAUUCUCAUUUUGGCAUUUCUUAGAAGAUUUACUGAAAUUCAAUUUAAUUGAACCCAUGGUAGGCAUGUGACAGAGACUCCCUUAACCUCAAUUUCCUCAUCUAUAAAAUGGGGGAAAUAAUAGUAGCUAUCUUUUUUUUUUUUAUCUCAUUGAGAUUGUUGGACUUCAGUAAGGUAAUUCUUGUGAAGUGCUUUGCCCAGAUAUCAGGGCCUGCUCAAUAAAUAUUAGCUAUUUUGAUAAUGAUACUGAUGAUGGCGAAGAAUUGCACAAAAAAUUGAAGCACAUAGAUUUCCAACAUUAUACUAGUGUUGUGAGUGAGAGAAACAACUGUAAUUUAUGGUCCUUACCUCUCGAGAAGUUUAUAAUCCUUCCAGAAAGGCAUGAUUACACAUAUGAAGUAAUUAAAGAACAAUCUAAAUGUAAACGGUGCCAAAUAUCUGUUCCAUCUACCAUAAUGUGUAACGUGUGUGUGGAGAAACUGAAGACCACAGACAAAUUAUUGGCCAGAGCCAAAAAUUCCAGAUAUUAUACUGUGGGCUCCUUUAAGGUCUAUUUAGAGCUAUAGAAAUCACCAUUGUGUUAGUCUCUACUUAUUGCCACAAAUUAAAAUAAAUAAUUUAAUCACAAAAACCAUCAAUUUGGCAGUGACAUAUAGUCUCUGGUUGAGUAAGUGAAGCAGAUAAGUAAAGAAAUUCAUAUUUUUAAAAUAUCUUUUUAUCUUUACUGUAAUGUCAUUAAUACUAAAGGUAAAAUAUUAAACACUACCAACUAUUAAAGACCUACUAUGUACCAGGCACUGUACUGUUCCAUAAAAAAAAAAAUCCUUACAGCAGUUAUAUGAGAUACGUAUUACCACACUCAUUUUGCAGAUGGGGAAAUGAGAAUGAGAGAGAUUAAGUAACUUGCCUAAAGUCAUGCAGCUGAUAAAAGCAGUGGCCUCUCUAGGGGAGUGAGGGGGGUGCAAAACGCACCAGGUGGUAGUCUCAGAGGGUGUGAGACAAAAAUAACUGUCUAUAAAAUUUUCGUGCAUUGUUUCAGUAGAGAUUUAUUAUUUUUUAUAAAAAUACCCCCGUAGGCAGUUAUAACAAUGAAAACAUUUUUCAUAAGCCCCGCUUACACAUAUCAAUAUACCUACAAGGCUACAACUCUGUGCUAAUUUAUUUUUGGAACCUUCUAAAUGUGCCUGAGUGAGAGCUGUCAUUAUUACCCAAUUACAACGACACUUCAAAUCGUGUUUUUGUCUGAAGACACUACAAGCAAGCGCUUUUGUUUUCGUUGCUGCCAGUGUUUUUAUAGUCACUGAUUUUGUUGAAUGUUUUGGGGUUUUAGCUACAAUACUCUGGUAAUUAGCAUGAGGGGUAGGGGUGGAUUAGCCAAUAAGCAAGGUAAGCACAAUGCUUACCUUGCAUGCCAGACCAUCUAUAGUAAACAAUUUCACAUUUUUCACCACAUCAAAGAUUCUGCUUCUAGGUAUAGCUGGCAUCUACUGUCUCUCUCCCAACCCUACAGCAUCUUCCUAUAGAAUCAAAGCCUCUUUUCAAAUUUACAGUCCCUGUCAGGGGUGGGUGAUCCAGUAAGCAAGAUAAGCACAGGCUUACUUGUGCUUACCUACUAAUCUGUAGUGAACAAUUUCACAUGGGUUUCCCAGUAUGUGGAGAUGUGGUGAGACCCAAGUGAAAUUGUCCACUACAGAUUAGCAUGUAAGCACAAGUAAGUCCAUGCUUACCUUGCUUAUUGGAUAAUCUGUCCCUGCGGGGUGGGGGGGGUUUGACACCAUGAGUUACCACACCGUGUGACACCAACCCAAGAGAUGUCACUGGAUAAGAGACCAGGCUAAGAGCCAAACCCACCCUGUCUGACUCAAGAAUCUCACCAGUGAGAGAGUUUCUAUUUAUAACUCUGGUGACGUUUGCAAGGGGUACAUACCCCCUUAUAAAAAAAACACGAAAGAGGACUUCCAGUUUAGUUUAGUUCAUUUUUGCUUAGAGGGAUCAGUUGGUCCUGUAAUUCCAUUUGAUCUAAGCCAAAAUUCACAUAAUUGGGCUGAAAGAGGCCAAAACUUAAUAAUUCUUGCUUCGAACCAAUCUUAAUCAAAUCAUUUUGAAAUAGAAUCUACUGUCCUUUUAAGUACAGCUACAGAUCCCCAUUUGGAAGUAUCCUUCAUUUCAUUGAAACAAAGGACUCUCCUAAACACUAAGUUUCUUAGAGACAACUUCUGUGAGGUUAUUUUCACUGAGAAAUAAGCCAAAUUCCUUAGAUUCCUAACCUACCCCUUUAGUUGAAUGUCUCCUGGAGGAAGAAAAAAAAGAAAAUUAUCCCCAGGAAAUUUCUCUGUUGAUCUAGAAGGAAGCUAGGCUUCCUAUCUUACACUUUUUGAAUUAGUACCUAGAUAAUCUGGAAAAUGUACAGUAAAAGCUAGAGUGGAGACCAAGAUAACAUAAAACCCCAAGGAUCAUGGAUAUUGUGAAGAGGCAGAAGCAGCCACCUCAUAAUGACUCAUCACCCACAGGCUGCUCAAUCCUCUUUCCCAAAGAUACUUUUGUGUGGUCACCAUAGGAAGGGAAGUGCAGGCAUGUGAAAAGUGGAAUGCAUGAGCUAAUUUCAUCACGCUGGAAGCCAGGCCACUGGCCUUUCUCCAGAGGAACUACAGCCUCCAUGGCAUCCUGUCAGGACAAUACCCUGAAAACCUUUUAAACUCCCCCAAAUUUGGCACAAACUCUGAAAUAUAUCUUUGGAGACAGAAACUUUCAAGGAAAAGCUGCAUGUUCACUAGGAGAAAGAAUCCAGGAUCAGAGCUUAAAGACAUGAGGUUGCUUAAAUUCAGUUCUGGCAGGAGAUGUCCUAGAUGCCUCGAGCUUUAUUAGACUUCCUCUCUUCCUUUCCAGGAGCUACGGUGUGCCCUUGAAAAAGUCAUUUUCCUCCUCUAUGAAUUGGUUUCUUAGUCAAAUGACAGAACUAAGGAGACAUAUCCAAGUUCAUCUGGCUAACAAAAUGUCAGAUGGCUUUUAGAAGGAAAAAGCACCUCCAAGUUUAAGCUAAUAUUAUCACACUACACAUUUUUCACAAAUUUAAAUGCUCAGAAUAUCUAAUAAUUCUUUUCCUUCUGCUCAAAACUUCACUGCCCAUGAAAGCUCAGACUUCACUUAUCCUCUCUCUGUAUUACCCUUCGAUAAACUACUGAUCACUAUAUUUUACAGUUGGAAAGGAAUGUUAUGAUAAACAAAUCUAUUCCCCCACCACCAUCUUUUCAGAUGAAGAAACUUGCAAUCAGAAAAAUUAAAUGGCUUUCUGAAAUUCAUAAACUGGUUCUUGGAAGACCUAGAACCAGAAUCCAGAUCUUCUUGCUCUAGUUCAGUUGCCAUUUCCCCCGCAAAUGAUACACUAACCAUUUGUCAUCUUAUUCUGUCUUGAGUUAUUAUCUCUUUAUGUAUUUUCCUUCAAUAGUGGUGCAGUGGUUAAGAGCUAGGCUGUUAACCAAAGGGUCGGGAGUUCGAAUCCACCAGCCGCUCUUUGGAAAUCCUGUAGGGAAGUUCUACUCUGUCCUAUAGGGUCACUAUGAGUCAGAAUCGAGUCAACCACAAUGGGUUUGGCUUAUUUAUUGUUAUUAUUAUUAUUAUUUAGUACUGUCAGCAUACAUUUUAUUCCUUGAGGGAAAGGAUAAUGUUUGAUACCUUUCUCAUUCCACCAAGAGUGUUUAGCGGAGUUCCAGGAGAGGAGAAAAUACUUCACAGGCAUUUGUCAAUUGACUCAUUUAAUCAAGUCAUUCCAUCUAACUCAGUUCUAUAACUAACUCUUAGUCCUUUCUGACACCUUCCCUCUCAGGACACUUAGAUAAACCUCUAAAUCCAUAUUUCAUGACAAGACUGGAAUCAUAUUUACAUUAUUUGUGCCCACAUGUCUCUUCCUUCCAACCAGCUAUAACAAUACUGAGUGACAAUGAUAACAACUAGAAUAAAAAAAGAAAAAAGGAAUUAUAAUAAACAGCAACCUAAUAUACUGUUUCCUCCUUACCUUGAGUGGGAGAAAAAUAAAGAUUAGUAUAAUGAAGAGGCAAAGCAAUAGAAAAGUUAUUGUUGAGCAGAGGAGCCAUAGCUUCCAGGAUGAUCUCUGUGCUCCUUGAGGACUUGAAUGGUUUAAAGGCAUAUUUUCCAAGUGGCUCAAGCUCAUUUUCUGGAAGAACGAGAGCUGUGAAAAGCAGAUAUUCAUGAAUGGUAGGUGAACGAUGCAACAUGUCAUGUUUUGUAGCAUUAUGGUAAUUAGUAGUGGGUGUAGAGGUGGAGUUUUCCUUCUGACACUGUAUUGGAAAAUGAUACUUCUAGGCUAAGCACUGACUCUCAUUUGGAGCCUGGCCAACUGGAAGGAACGGUCUGAAGGCUAAAUGCCAGCACAAACACACGGGAUAAAAGAACCAACACUAAGGAAGUUGUCAGAGGGAAAAAAAAAUAAAACCUCUUUCAAGAAGCCAGAGGAAGUGCAAUGGAGCUCAAUACUCUCAGUGCUGUGCAGGGCUCCAAAUGCAUUUCCAGAUAAGAAAAUUACAUUUUAUAACAAAAAAUAAAGUUCAAGAUCAGGUUAUAGAUACUCCAAAUAUUUAAUGUACAUGUGGGGUAAAGAGUUUCGGGCUGGAGAGACAAGUACAUGGUUUGGAAAAAUAAAGAGCUUCAUCGAUUUCUAGGAUAUAAAAUGUGUUCAUUCUGAGGUUUUCUCUAGGAAAGAUCAAAUAUAUUACUAGAAUUUAAUAAAAAUUUAUAAGUAUAGUGAGCUCAAUUUGCUCAUAUCUCACAACUUUAAAAACCUGAAAAUUCAAUGCUGGUAUCAAAUAAAAAUAGAAUUCUCAAAUAAAAGGAUAUUUGUCUGCACCUUUACCACAGGCCUGAGCUUAUACUCUAUACCAAAAAAAAAAUAGGAUUUCUUCUUGGCACCCAAAAUGCUGAUUUACCGCAAAAUUGAGGCGGUCCUCCCGGUUCGCUGUACCUCAGUUUCUUCAUCCGUUAAAAUGAAAUACUUACCAUUUUACCACUUUACAGAAUUUCAGCAUCAUAUGCAAGAAAGAAUGUGGUUUUUAAAUUGGGUGGACCUGACAGUGGAACCUAGUGCUGCCCAGCCCUCACCCGCUCUGUGUGUGGCCUUAGACACAUUCCUUGACUUCUCUGAGCUUCAAUUUCCUGAGUUAUAAAAUGGAGAAGUGAAACUUUUCACUUCGUAAUGCUUUUGUGAGUGAAAAUUACGUAUAUGUGAAAGCUUUGGCUCAUACCAGGUAUUUGACAAGUGUUAAUUUUUCUCUCCCUGGCCCCCUUAGGGAUUUUGUGAAGAUCAAAUCAAUUACGAAAUCCUAGAAAAGAAAGAUCAUUCUUUAUUGUUAUAUACCACACAGGGUAAUUCAAUUGAGAUGCAUUUAAAUGAAAAGAGGUAAAAUGAAACUAUUUUGAAGAAAAUAAUUUUUUUUAAUCAAAGAGAGAAUCAAAGAUUUUUUUAAUUAAAAAAAAACAUCUAGGGAUUUAUUGUCUUCAUUUAUAGAAGAGGAAGCUAAGGAUAAUAGAGGUUAAGUGGUAUCUCAAACCACAAAUAACUGGUUAAUGGUGGAGUGGGAACCCAAGCCCAUACUGUUUAGUUAACCCACCAUCUUCUCUUGGAACGUCAUUGUUUGCAGUAAUAUUUCUUGCUUAGUUUCACAGUUUAACUUGAUACUAUUUGACCUUGAUCCAUAGACUACCUCUGAAGAGAGGAGUCAUACAGGAGUAAUUUUUCUAGACAAUCACUUCUGUGGCUUUGUACACUCGAUGCUAUGAUGCAGGGCUGGGAACUGAGCUCACUUUAAAUGAUGUCUUGCCGCUAUAACUCUUGCACUUGUACCUGGACCGCAGAUAAGCAAAGAACACAAUUUAAAAGUAAACACUGUUAGGCUGGACUAUUUCCUUCCUGUUUAUCUGGUCUGCUCCUUCUCCUGUCUCCUCUCCAAAUCUUAGAUGGAGCUACCCCUGCUUGCUCACUUUAGUAAACAUUUAUUCAUUUGAGGGUCUUGUCCAAAUAAAACCCAGUUCCUUCUUCUGCCUUUAACCCAAGGUUAAGCUCUGGUAUUUCCUGAUUUAUUAUUUUGACCUUAUGAAAGUAUCUUUAAAAUGAUAACAUGCUUACCUCAAGAAGAAUAUAUUCCAGGGCUCUGAAAUGAGGAAGAAACUUCAAGUUAAGACAGGUGGAAGUGGAAAGAUUUUUUGAAAUUCUAGAGUAAUGAGUCACAAUUUGUACAUCUUUGGUGUAAGCUGUCAGAAUUUCAUGUGCCAUCUCAGAGCUUGACAAGAAGUAACAAGGCCACCAAAUCCAAGAUGUGUAUUUAUGGUCUGUCACUGUCUUAGGUACUUGGAAAGAGUUUUUUUUUUUUUUAAAUUAAGUUCAGUUAGCAAAUCUAUGUUGAAUAUCUACUGCCCACUCGCCACCGCGCUAACAGCUAUGAGGGAAACAAAAAAUACACAGAGUCACAGUUGUGAAGGAAUUUGUCACCCAACUAGAUUAACACCUUAUAAAUAGAAGGGCAGAAGUCCCAAAUACAUCAUAUGGGACAGAGCCUCAGACAAACAGAAAGAUUUAGAUAAGCUGAAAUAGUUGAAAAGAUGGGUUAAAAUUAGAUUUAGAGGGAAAAGGAGGGAGCUCUUUCUUGAGGGAGUGGUGAAACAUGGGAAGUAAAGAUACAGGGGUGUAAACGAGUGACUAACAUAUGCAGUGUCCUCACACAUCUGGAAAUGCUAGAAAUUUAAACGAGAACUCAGUAUGAGAAAAGAACUAAACACCAAAAUGAAGCGUUUCAGAAAGAGCAGUAAAAGAAAACCUUCCGUCUGUAUUUUUCCAAUUAAAAAAAAAAAAGCAGCAAGAUAUGCUUGACUGAGAAAUUAUAACUGUAUUCACUGUUGCUUUAAUUCAGAAUGAAUUAGUUAUACAUCAACCUACCCUUAGUUUCACUGUUGACUAGAUUAUCCUAAAAUGAAUUGGGCACCUUCUGGCUGGCUUCUGGGUGCACAAACAAUUACAUUGAACACCAGGUAGCCCUGUAUUGAUAUCUCCGUUCCUACAAAUGAUGAAACCGGCCCUUAGGGAGCAUAAAUGAUUGGCUCAUAGAAGCGGAACAGGGAUUGAAUCCCUAUCUGUUGGAUUCCAAAACCCCACCCAUAUUAUUUCCACCUCUCAUGUUGAACUGUAUGAGUUAAGGAAGUUCUGUGUGGAGUAAACAGAGUGAGAAAUGUAUUAAAACCUGGGAGUGUGCACUAGGUGGGACUCCAGUUUCCUACAAAAUCCUGUGUUUCUCAAGUCUGCACUCCUCACCACAUUCCCCUUAUACGACUGUGAUGAUUUUAUCCUUGUGAUACUGUUUGGUGCAGUAUAUUCAUCCAGAAGUAUCCAAUACAUAAGAACUCAAUAAGGAAUGCUACAAAUCUGAUUUGCCUACUGUGGAUAUCAGAAUAUUCAUUGUCACCACAAUUAGGGUCCUUUUGGCUUGAUGAUAGGCACUUGAUAGAGAGAGAGAGAGAGAUGAUUGAUAGAUUAAAAAAAAAAAAAAACCAAACCAAACCCAUCGAGUGGAUUCCAACUCAUAGCGACCCUAUAGGACAGAGUAGAACUGCUCCAUAGAGUAUCCAAGGAGUGCCUGGUGGAUCCGAACUGCUGAACUUUAAGGUUAGCAGCCUUAGCACUUAACCACUACGCCACCAGCAUUUCCAGAUUGAUAGAUAAACAUAAAAUAUAAAGAGGGUUUUAAACUUAGGAUUUGAUGAAAGGGACAACAGUGUCUGUUAAGAUUAGUAAAUGCCUACUCUCCUUUUUACUCUGUGAAAAGAAUUAUGUACAGUUCAUUAUAACUCUUCCACUACCAUUGGUGUAACAGUAUGCCAGCCACUUUUUAUGCCUUUGGACCUCAUUCCAAAACCAAACCAAACCCAUUGCUGUCUCACAGCUAUUCCAACUCACAGCAACCCUAGGCGACAGAGUAGAAAUGCCUCAUGGAGUUUACAAGGAGCAACUGGUAGGUUCAAACUGCCAACCUUUUGGUUAGCAGCUGAGUUCUUAGCCGGUUGGCCACCAGGGCUCAUCGCUAGUAUGUUAUUCCAGUUCUAACGCAUUUAGUGCGAAGAUGAGUUCGUUUUGAAAUGCAUGAAGUUCAGCAGACCAGAGCUGGGGCCUCACUGUUAUGUAGGUGGUGCUUCCUGGAUGUGUUAGUUUCAUGAACUUUUGUAACUUUUGCCUUUUUUUCCUUUAUUUCUGUGAGAUAAGGUUUGCAAGCAGAAUUGACUUUUCUGUGUGAUAGUUAGGGAGCCCCGAUGGGUUUGUUUUGGUUUUUUGGUGUCAUACUUAGAAAACCACAGGUUUCCCAAGUAACCUAACAGAAAUGGAAAGGUACUCGCAGUAAAUUCUCUAUUUAUCUCUUACUGGUAUAUUGUGAUACCACAGAUCACUGGCACCAAAGUGACACUAGUCUCAUUGGUAGAUUGAAUUACAAGAUUAUAUUUCUCAAAAGCCGUAUUACCGACCAAAAAUUUAAACACAAUCAAUUGGUAAGUAUGCAUUCCAAUACUGAAGACACAUGCCAUCAAAAUUUUUUUUAAAAAUUAAAAAUUUGGUAACUAAAGGGUUGUACAUAAAUAGACAUAUGUACAUAUAUACAUCUAUUUAUAUACGAUCUAUACACAUAUAUACAUAUUAUAUGUAUAAUAAAUUCUAAAAGAGAUACAGGAGCCUCUCAUAUCAAUCUUAACAUCAUCGUCUCUAAAGAAAUAGUAAUAGUUCUUAAUCGGGGUGGUCUAGGAAAUAGUUUGAAUCUAAACCAUGUUUUUUCUUCCAUGACCUGGGGACUCUUUUCUGUGCCCCACGUUGUCUUGCUUUGUGCUAUUUUUGUAUCCACUUUUUGGAACCCUUACCAAAUUCUUCAUUAGUUGUCUAUAUUUUAUUGUCUCAAGUACAGCCCUUAAGUAGCAGGUCUAUCGGCCCAUUGGUAUGGAAGCCUUUCUGUUCUAGCUACCUGUCUUACCACUAAGAUUCGAGGAUGACUGUGUGAUAUUCUAAAUCCCCAUCUCACCAGCUUGAGCCCUCUGUGUCUAUGGUUGGUUGUUUUUGUUUUAUGUAUAAGUAUGUACAUGUCCUCUCUUGCCUAGUCAGCAUUCUGUCAGUAUCCUGGCCAGGGGAGGAGCAUCUUAAGUACUUUUUGAUGGGAAGAGUGACUUACUGCUCAGAAUCUGAACUAAAAACAGAUUUUCCAUUGCACAAUAUGGCAUGACAUCAACAGCACCCUAGAAGGCGUAGUGAAUGGGCAUUGCUUAAAACUCUCUCUUGCCCAAUAUCAUGUAGAUUGCCAGAGAACUGUGUAUUUCACCUACCAACCUAGUUGCAAUAAAAGGGUCUUAAGACUGCUGAGACUGCGUAUUUCCCUAAAAUAUCCUGGGUUUCCUUAAGCAGCACUGGUGGAGGAAAGUGAGGAGAUAUUUUGCUUUUAUCCGUUACUUGAUCUCUCCAUUUGACAGGAUGCUAGUUACCCCCUCCAAGAUACUACUGUACACCAGCUCCGUUAGAUAACAAUCAACUCAUUCACUGCUUUCAACACUCAACUAUGACGUACUCAUGUAGACAUGUAGAGGAUAUUUUGCUCCUGUUUUUCCAUUUUUAGCACUGGCCUUGCACCAUUCAAUUUAGACAUUUAGGUACAGAUGACACAAGGCUAGAUUUGUUGGUUUGGGCAUUGAGAGCUUGAAUAAGUAAAGAAAGGUUUUGGAUUUUCUAUGAUGAAAUGAUUCCUGUAUAUACCAAAAGGCCAUUGUAUUCCCCUUGUUUAUUUAGAAAACAUUAUUGAAUGCCUGCUAUGUGCCAAGUACAAUGUGAGGAGCUUGAAUCCUGCCAGAUAAGGGUCAGUUCCUGUCAUCAAAUUUUUAUUGUUUUCUUUUUGUUUGUCUAUUUAUUUCAUUUUUUAUGUUUUUGUAGGUAGCUGGGAAAAGAGACAAAUGUACAAGGCCAAUACAGACAGAAGUGUGGUAAUAGGGAAUCCCUGGAUGGUACAAAUGGUUUACACGCUUUACUGCUAACUGAAAGGUUGGAGGUUUAAGUCCAGCCAGAGGCACCUCAGAAGAAAGGCCUGAAUAUCAUCUCCUGAAAAAAAUCAGCCAUUAAAAACCUUAUAGAGUGUAGUUAUAACUCUGACACACAUGGGGUAGCCAUGAGUCAGAAUUGACUCAAGAUGGCAACUGGUUUUUACCAUGUGCUAUACUCUGGGGAAUCAACAGAGAAAGUCAGGGCUUUCAUCUCUGCAAUCUACAACUGGCAAGAAUUCUCUGCUUGAAGAAAGUUGUCUCAGGAGCUCUGAACUCAGGCAGAGGAGCCGCUAUCACUUCACAUCCAGGAUGCUAUUUGCACUGUGAUACUCUGGGAAUCCCCUCCUCUCCCCAUGGCUGACCAGAUUUCAACCUGGACUCACAGACGGUGGUCUGAACUCCUUUCCAGAAGAUAAGGAAAUGGAAACCUAGCCUGAAGCACAGUGAAGAUGGAAAAGGAAACACAGGAGAGGAGCGGUCUUUCAGCCAUUUAAAAGCACUGCAGCAGUGCAUCAUCAGGGAACUCCCAGAAAUUCAAACCAGAUUCAGAAGAGGAUGUGGAACAAGGGAUAGCAUGCUGAUGUCAGAUGGAUCACGGUUGAAAGCAGUGAAUACCAUAAAGAUGUUUAUCUUUACCUUAUUAUUUUUUUUAUUGAGUACGCAGAGACAUUUACUGUGUGGAUUAUAACAAAUUAUGAAUAACAUCAUGAAGAAUGGGAAUUUCAGAACCCUCAGCUGUGCUCAUGAGGAAUGCGACUAUGACCAAGAAGCAGCCAUUCCAGCAGAACAAGGGGAUACUGCAUGGUUUAAAGUCAAGAAUGAUAUUCGUCAGGGCUGUAUUCUUUCACCAUACUUAUUCAAUCUGUAUGCUGAGCAAAUAAUCUGAGAAGCCGGACUGUAUGAAGAAGAACAUGGCAUCAGAAUUGGAGGAAGACUCAUUAAGAACAUGCAAUACGCAGAUGAAACAACUGCUUGCAGAGAGGGAAGAGGACUUGAAGCACCUACUGAUGAAGAUCAAAGACCACAGCCUUCAGUAUGGAUUACACUUCAAUAUAAAUAUAACAAAAAUCCUCACAACUGCCUGAUAAACAGAGAAAAGAUUGAAGUUUUCAAGGACUUCAUUUUACUUGGAUCCACAAUCAACAUCCGUGGAAGCAGCAGUCAGAAAUCAAAUGAUGCGUUGCAUUUGGCAUAUCUGCUGCAAAAUAUCUCUUUAAAGUGUUAAAAAGCAAAGAUGUCACUUUAAGAAAAAAGGUGCACCUGACCCCAAGCCAUGGUAUUUUCAGUCCCUUCAUAUGCAUGUGAAAGCUGGACAAUGAAUAAGGAAGACCAAAGAAUUGAUGCUAUCGAAUUAUGGUGUUGGUGAAGAAUAUUGAAUACACCAUAGGCUGCCAGAAGAAUGAACAAAUCUGUCUUGGAAGAAGUAGAGCCAGAAUGCUCCUCAGAAGCAAGAAUGGCAAGACGUUGUCUCACAUACUCUGAACAUGUUAUCAGGAGGGACCAAUCCCUUGAGAAGGACAUCAUGCUUGGUAAAUUUGAGGAUUAGUGAAAAAGAGGAAGACCCUCCACAAGAUGGAUUAACACAGUGGUUGAAACAAUGGACUCAAGGGUAACAACAAUUGUGAGGAUGGUGCAGUGUUUCCGUCUGUUGUACAUAGGGUCGCUAUCAGUUGGAUUCGACUCAUUGGCACCUAACAACAACACAGUGGGUAUGAAGUUGCAUCUCAUUAGAGUUUUGAUUUGCAUUUACCUAAUCACGAGUGAUGUUGAGCAUCUUUUCAAGUGCUUAUUGGUCAUUUGUAUAUUUUUACUGAAGAAAUGACUAUACAAAUUUUUUUGCCCAUUUUUAGUUGGCUUAUUUGCCCUUUUAUUAGUAUACCAUCAGAGUUUCUUAAUACUCUGAAUAGGAAUCCUUUAUCAGUUAUAUGACUUGCAAAUAUUUUUUCCAGUCUGUGGGUUGUCUUCAUUUUCUUGACAGUGUCCUUUGAAGUACAGAAGUUUUUCAUUUUGAUGAGAUUCAAUUUUUUUUCUUUUGUCACCUGUGCUUUUGGUGUCAUAUCUAAGAAACCGUUGCCUAACCCACUGUCACAAAAUUUUACUCCCAAGCUUUCUGCUAGGAGUUUUGUAAUUUUAGCUCUUAUAUUUAGAUCUAUGAUUCAAUUUUAGUUAAUGUGUAUAUGGUGGGAGGUAGGCAUCCAACUUGAUUCUUUUCCAAGAAAAUGUUCAGUUAUUCCAGCACCAUCCAUUGAAAAGAAUAUUCUUUCCCCGUUGAAUUUUCUUGGCACACUUACUGAAAAGCAAUUUACCGUAAAUGUAAGAGCUAAUAUCGAGUCUCUCAAUUCUAGUCUAUUGAUCUAUAUUUCUAACUUUAUGCCAGUACUAUACUGUAUUGAUUACUGUUUUGAAGUAAGUUUUGAAAUCGUUAUUUUUCAAUGUUAUUUUGAUUAUUCUGUGUCCCUUGAUUUCCAUUCAAAUUUUAGAUUCAGCUUAUCAAUUUCUGCAAAAAAAGACAUCUGGGAUUUUAGUAGAGAUUGCAGUGAAUCUGUACGUGAAUAUGAGGAAUGUUACCAUCAUUUUCUUAAGUCUUCCAAUGCGCAACCAUAGAAGUCUCUCCGUUUAUUUAAAUCUUUAUUUUUUCAGCAAUGUUUUAUAAUUUUCAGUGUACAAGUCUUGCACUUUUUUGUUAAAUUUAUUCGUAUUUCACUCUUUUAGAUGCUAUUGUGAAUGGAAUGUUUUCUUAAUUUCAUUUUUGAAUUAUUAAUUGCUAAUAUAUGUCAAUUGAUUUUUAUACGUUGAUGUUAUAUCCUGCAACUUUUCUGAACUCAUUUAUUCGUUCCAACUGGGGUUUUGUGUGUGUGUGUGUGUGUGUGUGUGUGUGUGUGUGUGUGGAUUCCUUGGGAUUUUCCUUUUUGUGUGCUUUAGGUGAAACUUUACAGAGCAAAUUAGUUUCUCAUUAAACAGUUAAUACAAUUUUUAUCAUAAAAAGGUGUUGGAUUUUGACAAAUACUUUUGUUGAAUCUAUUAAGAUGAGUUUUUGUCCUUUAUUCUAUUAAUAUGGGGUAUUACAUUUAUUGAUUUUCAUGUUAAAUCAACCUGAUCAUGGUGUAUAAUCCUUUUUAUAUGUUUGUAUGUUGUUGUAUUCAGUUUGCUAGUAUUUUGUUGUAUAUUUUUGCAUUUAUAUCUAUAAGGGAUAUUUAUCAGUAGUUUUCUUUUCUUGUGACAUCUUUGUCUGAUUUUCAUAUCAGGGUAAUACUGGUCUAAUAGAAUGAAUUAAGAAGUGUUUCAUCCUAUAUUUUUUUUUUAGAAUAGUUUGUAAAGAUUGCUAUAGUUUUUUUUUUCCUAAAGGUUUGGUAGAAUCCAUCAGUAAAGCUAUCUAGACCUGGGCUUUUCUUUAUGAGAAUUUUAAAAUUACUGAUUCAAUUUCUUUACUUGUAAUAGAUCAGAUAUGCUAUUUCUCCUUGAAUCCAUUUUGGUAGUUUGUGCCCUUGUAGAAAUUUGUCAAUUUUACCUAGCUUGUAUAACUUGUUGUCACACAGUUGUCCAUAGUAUCCUCUUAUAACCCAUGGGUAGGUUGGGUACUGGCACAACUACCCUUGGCACACUCUUUCAUUCCUUAUGUUAUUAAUUAUGGUUUCUUUGAUUUUCUCUCUUGUUUUCAACUGUAUUUCAUUUAUUUCUAGUCUUUAUUAUCCCAUUCCUUCUGCAUGCUUUGAGUUCAGUUCUUCUUUUCCUAGUUUCUUAAGGUAGAAGAUUAGAUUACUGACUUGAUAUCUUUCUACUUUUUUAAUGUAGGCUUUCCCAGCUAUAAAUUUUCUUCUGAGCUUUUUUUUUUAAUCUGUAUUUCAUAAGAUUUAGUAUGUUGUGUUUUUAUUCUAAUUCACCUCAACGUAUUUCUAAACUUCCCUCAUGAUUUCUUUUGACCCAUUGGUUAUUUAGGAGUAUGUCAUUUAAUUAUCACAUAUUUGUGAGUUUCCCAAAACUUUUAUCAUUUUUAAUUUCCAAGGAGAUGAGAGAAAAUACUUUGUAUAAUUUCAAUCCAUUGAAACUUACUGAGGCUUGUUUUAUUGUUUAGCAUAUGAUAUAUUCUUGCAAUUGUUUUAUGUGUUAAUGAGAAAUGUAUAUUCUGCUGUUGUUAAGUGGAGUGUUUUAUAGAUAUCAAUCAUGUUUACUUGAUUAUAGUUUUGUUCAGCUCUCUAUUUCUCUGUUGAUCUUUUGGAGUAUUGAAGCCUCCAACUGUGAUUGUUUAAUUUCUUUUUACAAAUUUCCCUGCAAUUCUUCCAAGUAUUUUGGGGCUCUGUAAGGUGUAUAUAUGCUUCUAAUUAUCUUGUUUUCCUGAUUGAUUGAUGAUUUUAUCAUUAUAAAAUAUUCCUUUUUUCUCCCCUAGUAACAAUUUUUGUCUUAAAGUCUCCUUUGUCUGAUACAGUGUAGCCGUUGCAGCUCCUUUUAGUUACUGUUUCCUUGGCCUAUCUUUUUUCUUCCUUUUACUUCCAGCCUAUUUGUGUCUUUGAAUCUAAAGUGUGUUUCUUGUAGACAACAUAUAAUUUGGUCGUAUUUUCUUACAUAUUCUGCUAACCUAUGCUUUUUAUUAGAAUUUUUAAUCCAUUUACAUUUAAUGUAAAUACUGAUGAGGUAGGAUUUGUGUCUGCCAUUAUACUAUUUGUUUUAUAUGUCUGUAUCUUUUUGUUCCUCUGUUUCUCUAUUGCUGCCUUUUUGGAGUUAAAUUCAUGUUUUCUACUGUACCAUUUUGACUCUCUUGUUUUUUAUUACAAUAUUGACUAUAUUUUUAAAUAUUUAUUUUCUUAGUAAUUGCCCUGGAGAUUAAAACUAGCAUCUUAACUUAAAAUAAUAUACUUCGGAUUAAUACCAACUGUAUUUCAAUAGUAUACAAAAUUUUUGUUUGAAUAUACCUCCUUUGUGUUAUUCUCAUCACACAAAUUACAUCUUUAUGGAUUAUAAAACCAUCAACUCAGCUUUAUAAUUAUUCUUUAAUGUAUUUGUCUUUAAACUCACAUAGAAAAAGAAAAGAGUUAGAAACAAAACGUGUUUACAUUGUGUUUUAUAUUUAUCCAUGUAGUUGCUGUUUCUGGUGCUCUAUUAUUUCACGUAGAUUUCAGUUAUAAUCUGCCACACUUUUAUGCAUAAUGUGCACCUUCUGCGCUUGUUUACAGGCUGUGCCCUCCCCCAGCAAGGUACCCACAAAGCAUCACCAUGCCAAUUCUUUUCCACAUGUUGCUUUAAAAAAACAAACAGCAUACUGUGCUUGAAACAAAAGCACGUCAUGGUGGUGAGAGGGGGAGGGGAGCAUGACCAGCAAACAAAUGCAUAAAAAUAUGAAAGUAUCCUUUCAUUUUAGCCUGAAGGUCUUCCUUUAGUAUUUCUUAUUGAGCAGUUCUGUUGCUGUUUUCAGGUGCCACUGAGUUGAUUUCAACUCACAGCGACCCCACAUACAACAGAAUAAAACACUGAUCCUGUGCCAUCCUCAUAAUCAUUGCUAUGUUUGAAGCCCAUUGUUGUAGCCACUGUGACAGUCCAUCUCAUUGAGGGUCUUCCUCUUCUUCACUGACCCUCCACUUUACCAAGCAUAAUGUCCUUCUUCAGGGACUAGUCCCUUCUGAUAAUGUAUUCAAAGUACGUGAGAUGAAGUCUUGCCAUUCUCACUUCUAAGGAACAUUCCGGCUGUACUUCUAUCAAGACAGAUCUGUCCAUUCUUCUUGCACUCCAUGGUAUAUUCAACAUCUUUAUCAACACCAUAAAUUAAAAGCAUCAGUUCUUCAGUCAUCCUUAUUCAUUGUCCAGCUUUCACAUACGUUUUGUUGUUGUUGUUUUUAGGUGUCAUCGAGUCAGUUCCAACUUAUAGCAACCCUAUGCACAACAGAAUGAAACCCUGCCCGGUCCUGCACCAUCCUUAUAAUCGUUGCUAUGUGUAAGCCCAUUGUUACAGCCACUGUGUCAAUCCAUUUCAUUGAGGAUCUUCCUCUUUUUCACUGACCCUCUACUUUACCAAACAUUAUGUCCUUCUCCAGAGACUGAUCCGUCCUGACAACAUGUCCAAAAUAUGUGAGACACAGUCUUGCCAUCCUUGCUUUCAAGGAACAUUCUGGUUGUACUUCUUCCAGGACUGAUUUGUUCAUUCUUUUGGCAGUCCAUGGUAUAUUCAAUAUUCUUUGCCAACACCACAAUCCAAGGACAUCGAUUCUUCUUUGGCCUUCCUUAUUCAUUGUCUAGCUUUCACAUGCAUAUGAGGCAAAUGAAAACACCAUGACUUGGGUCAGGCUCACCUUAGUCCUCAAGGUGAUCUCUUUGAUUUUCAACACUUUAAAGAGAUCUCUUGCAGCUGAUUUGCCCAAUGCAAUGCAUCUUUUGAUUUCUUGACUGCUGUUUCCUUGAGUAUUGAUUGUGAAUCCAAGUAAAAUGAAACUCUUGACAACCUCAAUCUUUUCUCCGUUUAUCAUGAUGUUGCUUAUUGGCCCAGUUGUCAGAAUUUUUGUUUUCUUUAUGUUGAGGUGUAAUCCAUACUGAAGGCUGUUGUCUUUGAUCUUCAUCCGUAAGUGCUUCAAGGCUUCUUCACUUUCAGCAAGCAAGGUUGAGUCAUCUGCAUAACCCAGGUUAUUAAUGAAUCUUUCUCCAAUCCUGAUGUCCUGUUCUUCUUCAUAUAGUCCAGCUUCCCGGGUUAUUUAUUCAGCAUACAGAUUGAAUAGGUAUAGUGAAAGGAUACAACCCUGAAGCACACCUUUCCUGACUUUAAACCAUGCAGUAUUCCCUUGUUCUGUUCCAAAGGCUACCUCUUGAUCUCCGUACAGAUUACUCAUGAGCACAAUUGUUUUGAAAUUCCCAUUCUCUGCAAUGUUAUCCAUAAUUUCUUAUGAUCCAUACAGUCGAAUACCAUAGCAUAGUCAGUAAAAUAUGCAUGCAUAUUAGGAAAUUGAAAAUACCAUGGUUUGAGUCAGACAGCCCCACCUUAGUCCUCUAGGUGACUUCUUUGUUUUUUAACCCUUUAAACAGGUCUUUUGCAGCAGUUUUGCCCAAUACAAUAAUACGUCUUUUUAUUUCUUAGAAAACCCUGGUGGCGUGGUGGUUAAGUGCUACAGCUGCUAACCAAAGGGUCGGAAGUUUGAAUCCGCCAGGCACUCCUAGGAAACUCUAUGGGGCAGUUCUACUCUGUCCUAUAGGGUCGCUAUGUGUUGGAAUCGACUCGGCGGCACUGGUUUUGGUUUGGUUUUGGUUUUUAUUUCUUAACUGCUGCUACCAUGAGUGCUGAUUGUGGAUUCAAGUAAAAUGAAAUCCUUGACAACUUCAAUCUUUUCUCCUUUUAUUAUGAUGUCGCUUAUUGGUCCAGUUGUGAGGAUUUUUGUUUUCUUUAUGUUGAUGUGUAAUUCAUACUGAAGGCUGUAGUCUUUGAUUUUCAUCAGUAAGUGCUUGAAGUCCUCCUCACUUUCAGCAAGCAAGGUUGUGUCAUCUGCAUAUUGCAGAUUGUUAAUGAGUCUCUCUUCAAUCCCGAUACCACAUUUUUCUUCAUGUAGCCCAGCUUCUCAGAUUCUUUGUUCAGCAUACAGAUUGGGUAACUAUGGUGAAAGGAUAUAACCCUGACGCACACUUUCCCUGAUUUUAUACCAUCCGGUAUCCCCUUGUUCUGUUCAAACAACUGCCUUUUGGUCUAUGUACAAGUGCCACAUGAGCACAAUUAAGUGUUCUGGAGUUCCUAUUCUUCCCAAUGUUAUCCAUAAUUUGUUACGAUCCGCGCAGCCGAAUGCUUUCGUACACUCAAUAAAGCACAGGUAUACAACUUUCUGGUAUUCUCUGCUUUCAGCUAAGAUCCAUCUGAUGUCAGCAGUGAUAUCCCUCAUUCCAUGUCCUCUUCUGAAUCUGGAUUGAAUUUCUGGCACUUGCCUGUCAAUGUACUACUGCAGCCAUUUUUUAAACUAUUGUCAGCAAAAUUUUACUUGCAUGUGAUAUUAACAAUAUUGUUUGAUAAUUUCAGCAUUCUGUUGGAUCACCAUUCUUUGGGACAGGCACAAAUAUGGAUCUCUUCAAGCAGUUGGCAAUGUAGCUGUCUUCCAAAUUUCUUGGCAUAAACAAGUGUUGCAUCAGUUUGUUGAAACAUCUCAAUUGAUAUUCUGUCAAUUCCUGGAGACUUCUUGUUCAUCAAUACCUUCAGUGCAGCUUAGACGUCUUCCUUCAGUACUGUCAGUUCUUGAUCACGUGCUACCCCCUGAAAUGGAUGAACAUCGACGAAUUCUUUUUAGUACAGCAACUGUUUAUUCCUUCCAUCUUCUUUUGAUGCUUUCUGCAUUAUUCAAUACUUGCCCAUAGAAUCCUUCAAUAUUGUAACUCGAGGCUUGAAUUUUUUCUUUAGGUCUUUUAGCUUGAGUAAUGCCGGGUGUGUUCUUCCCUGUGGUUUUCUAACUCCAGGUCUUUGCACAUUUCAUUAUAAUUCUUUAUUUUGCCUUCUGGAGCCAACCUUUGAAAUCUUCUGUUCAGCUCUUUUGCAUCAUCAUUUCUUCCACUAGCUUUAGCUAGUCUGUGUUCAGAAACAAGUCUCUUCUCAUAUCCACCUUGAUGUUUUGUUUCUUUCCUGUCUUUUUAAUGAUCUUUUGAUUUCUUCAUGUAUAAUGCCCUGAUGUCAUCCUUCAGCUCAUCUGGAUUUUGGUCAUUAGUAUUCGACAUGUUGAAUUUAUUCUUGAGAUAGUCUCUAAAUUCAGGUGGAAUAUACUCAAGGUCGUACUUUGACUCUCGUGGACUCACUUUAAUUUUCUUAAGCUUCAACUUGAACUUGCAUGUGAGCAACUGAUAGUCUAUUCCACAGUCGGCCCCUGGCCUUGUUCUAUUUGAUGACAUUGAGCUUCUCCAUCAUCUCUUUCCACAAAUGUAGUUGAUUUAAUUCCUGUGUAGGCCAUUAGACAAGUUCCACAUGUAUAGUUGCCAUUUAUGUUGUUGAAAAAAGAUAUUUCCAAUGAAUAAAUCAUUGGUCUUGCAAAAUUUUAUCAUGCGAUCUUUGGCAUCAUUUCUAUCACCAACGCCAUAUUUUCCUAUUAUUGAGCUUUCUUCUUUGUUUCCAAUUUUUGCAUUCAAAUAACCAGUAAUUAUCAGUGCACCUUGCUUGCACGUUUGAUCAAUUUCACACUGCAAAAAUUGGUAAAAAUCUUCAAUUCAUCUUUGCCAUUAGUAGUUGGUGCAUAAAUUUGAAUAAAAGUCACGUUUACCAGUCUUCCUUGUAGGCAUUUAGAUAUUAUGUAAUCACUGACAGCCUUGUAUUUCAGGAUAGAUCUUGAAAUGUUCUUUUUGACAAUGGAUUCAACGCUAUUCCUUUCAAUUUGUUAUUCCCAGCACAGUAGACCAUAUAAUUUUCCAAUUCAAAAUGGCCAGUACCAGUGCAUUUCAGCUCUCUAAUGCCUAUCUUUAAGAGUUCUAUUUCAUUUUUGACAACUUUCAAUAUUCCUAGAUUCAUACCUUCCAUGUUCUAACUUUUAGUGGGUGUUUGCAGCUAUUUCUUCUCAUUUUGAGUCAUGCUACAUCAGCAAAUGAAGGUUCCAAAACCUUACUCCAUUCACAUCAUUAAGGUUGGCUUUCCUUUGAGGAGUCAGCUCUUUCUCAGUCGUAUUUUGAGUGCCUUCCAACCUCAGGGGCUCACCUCCGGCACUAUAUCAGACAAUCUUUCACUGCUGUCCAUGAGGUUAUCAAUGUCCAGUUGUUUCAGAAGUAGACCUCCAGGUCCUUCAUCCUAGUCUGUCUUAGUCCGGAAGUUCCACUGAAAAUUGUCCACCAUGGGUGAACCUCCUGGUAUUUGAGAUACUAGUAGCAUAGCUUCCAGCAUCAUAGCAACACACAAGCCACCACAGUAUGACAAAUUGACAGACAAGUUGUGGUGAUCAGCUCUGCUAUUAACAAAUUCUCCCCAAGUUUGGUUAUCUGGAAAUGUAUUAAUUUCUCUGUCCUUUUUUGAAAGACAGUUUUUCUGGAUAUAAACUUCUUGAUUGACAGACUUUUUCUUUCAGCACUUUGAAUAUGUCACCCCACUAUCCUCUAACCUCUAUGGUUUCUGAAGAGGAUCUUUUGUAUUUUAUUAGUUGCUUCUCUCUGUCUGUUUUCAAGAUUCUCCCUUUUUCUUUGGCUUCUUACAGUUUGUUUGUAAUGUAUCUUAGUGUGGAUCUUUUUGCACUUGUCUUAAUUACAGUUCAUUGAGCUUCAUGGAUGUGUAUAUUAAUGUUUUUCAUCAAAUUUGGUAAGGUUAGGCCAUUAUUUCUUCAGAUUUUAUAUCUAUUUCUUCUCCUGUUUGGCAAUCCUCAGUUUUUGUGUGUUCACACACUUGUGUCAACUGAGGUGAUGUUCCUUUUUUUCUCUCUCUGUUUCUCAGACUGGAUAAUCUUGAUUGACCUAUCUUCAAAUUCACUGACUCUUUCUUAUGUGAGCUCAAAUCUGCUUUUGAACCUUUUUAGUGAACUUUUUAUUUCAGUUAUUAUAUUUCUCAACUCCACAAUGUCUGAUUUUAUGAUUUCAAUCUCUAUUGAUAUUCUCUAAUUGAUAGGACAUUGUUGUCAACUUUUUCUUUAAUUUCUUAGUUAUUUGGACAUAUUUGUAAUAACUGAUUUAAAGUCUAUGUCUACUAACUCCAUCAUCAGGGCCUUUAGGGAUAUUUUUCUUCACUGCCUUUUUUCCUAUGUGUGUGGCAUAUCUCAUUUUUCUUUGCACAUCUCACAAUUUUUCUUGAAAACUGGACAUUUUAAAUAAUAUAUUGUAACAACUAUGGUAUCAACUUCUGCUCCC